AGAGUUUGAUCAUGGCUCAGAUUGAACGCUGGCGGCAGGCUUAACACAUGCAAGUCGAGCGGUAACAGGGGGAGCUUGCUCCCCGCUGACGAGCGGCGGACGGGUGAGUAAUGCAUAGGAAACUGCCCAGUAGUGGGGGAUAGCCCGGGGAAACCCGGAUUAAUACCGCAUACGCCCUUUGGGGGAAAGCAGGGGAUCUUCGGACCUUGCGCUAUUGGAUGUGCCUAUGUCGGAUUAGCUAGUUGGUGGGGUAAGAGCCUACCAAGGCGACGAUCCGUAGCUGGUCUGAGAGGAUGAUCAGCCACAUCGGGACUGAGACACGGCCCGAACUCCUACGGGAGGCAGCAGUGGGGAAUAUUGGACAAUGGGGGCAACCCUGAUCCAGCCAUGCCGCGUGAGUGAAGAAGGCCUUCGGGUUGUAAAGCUCUUUCAGAUGCGAAGAUGAUGACGGUAACAUCAGAAGAAGCCCCGGCUAAUUUCGUGCCAGCAGCCGCGGUAAUACGAAAGGGGCAAGCGUUGUUCGGAUUUACUGGGCGUAAAGGGCACGCAGGCGGUCUUGCCAGUCAGGGGUGAAAGCCCGGGGCUCAACCCCGGAACUGCCUCUGAUACUGCAAGACUAGAGACUAGGAGAGGGUGGUGGAAUUCCCAGUGUAGAGGUGAAAUUCGUAGAUAUUGGGAGGAACACCAGAGGCGAAGGCGGCCACCUGGACUAGAUCUGACGCUCAGGUGCGAAAGCGUGGGGAGCAAACAGGAUUAGAUACCCUGGUAGUCCACGCC
rnacentral:rRNA from 1 species